CUCAGUUCCAUCAGCCAACAUAAGGCUAGGUAGAAGGACACCUCAGUCCCAUCAGCCAACUCAAGACUAGGUAGAAGGACACCUCAGUCCCAUCAGCCAACUCAAGACUAGGUAGAAGGACACCUCAGUCCCAUCAGCCAACAUAAGGCUAGGUAGAAGGACACCUCAGUCCCAUCAGCCAACAUAAGGCUAGGUAGAAGGACUCCUCAUUUUAAAUCCCUCAAUAUAAAUAUCCUAAUUUGACUUUAUAUGAUAAAAUAUAAUUUCCUUUUAUUCCACAACACUUCAUGAAGGAACCCAUCAACAAUCCUGUUCACUUCACACUGCACUCAAAAAGGCACAUUUUCUUUCUUAAGUGUUUUUUUUUCAUUCCUAUUCAUCACCUACCUGCAUCUUCAUCAUAGCCUGGUCUCAGAUCAGUUGGUGUUCUAGCCAACUCCAUACAACACAAACAGUUUGGCGUGCAUUGAGGCUGAGUAACAAGGAGCUGGCGUGAUGGCACAUACAGACUGGAACUCAGGCUAUAUUCAGCUCACUCUUUUUUUUCCCCAUCAGGAAAAAAGAAAGUGAAGGACAAACAGGAACAGGAAAUGUCACAGAUCACCAUUAGGUUGAAUGAAUUAUAUCACAGCCAAGAUCUAUUUUAAUGACCAGAGGCCGAGGCACUGGAAACUAAAGGGACUACUUUUUGUAACACAGUAAAUACAAGAUGGCGGCUGAUGUUGCGUAACUGUACAAUAGUGUCUUCUCUGCAGACUGCAGUCAUUACCAAUAUGUAUUUGGGUACUUUUUAUCAAACAUCAUUUUGGUGUUUUUCACUGUAUGAGAAGAUCAAUAAGGAGAAACAGAAACCUACAUUUUGGGAUGACAAGUGUACGAUUGUGAUUUAUUCUCCGAUCUGUCUGUAAUUCCUGCAUUCUCUCAACCCUGUUCUAUUGGUUGCACAGUGACCUAUAUUUCUCUCAUCCACAUAAGGGUCUUCUGUUAGGUAUUAAUAGCAGUGUUUUUUUUGUUUUGUUUUUUAAAUCCAGAGUUCCGGCAAUAGGAUGUCAAACACCUCGCAUAUCAACGCCACACCCAUCUGAUUACGCAUAUCAACACCACACCCAUCUGAUUACGCAUAUCAACACCACACCCAUCUGAUUACGCAUAUCAACACCACACCCAUCUGAUUCCACAGCUACACAUUCCUUCAUAGCACCUUGGAGCAGAUUGUCUCAUCAUGUUUGAUCUAAACAAUAUCACAUUUAUAUUCACUUUUUUGAAUCUCCGUUCAUUUCUGGGUGACAAAUUGGCAAGGCUGACACUGUAUAAAUGCCAUCAGUCAAGACUGUCAGUACACAUGUUGACAGACAGACAGACAGACAGACAGACAGACAGACAGACAGACAGACAGACAGACAGACAGACA